AAAUUGAAGAGUUUGAUCAUGGCUCAGAUUGAACGCUGGCGGCAGGCCUAACACAUGCAAGUCGAACGGUAGCACAGAGAGCUUGCUCUCGGGUGACGAGUGGCGGACGGGUGAGUAAUGUCUGGGAAACUGCCUGAUGGAGGGGGAUAACUACUGGAAACGGUGGCUAAUACCGCAUAACGUCGCAAGACCAAAGAGGGGGACCUUCGGGCCUCUUGCCAUCAGAUGUGCCCAGAUGGGAUUAGCUAGUUGGUGAGGUAACGGCUCACCAAGGCGACGAUCCCUAGCUGGUCUGAGAGGAUGACCAGCCACACUGGAACUGAGACACGGUCCAGACUCCUACGGGAGGCAGCAGUGGGGAAUAUUGCACAAUGGGCGCAAGCCUGAUGCAGCCAUGCCGCGUGUAUGAAGAAGGCCUUCGGGUUGUAAAGUACUUUCAGCGGGGAGGAAGGUG
rnacentral:rRNA from 1 species